UUACCCAGCACAUGCUGCCGUUCGACUUUGGUAAAUUGUAAAUGGCACAUGGUAGAUGGGGGGUCUCCCUGAAGAUUUUGCAUUGAGGCCAAGGAGCUUGAAGAUGUGAAAUCUCGCGAGACUUCGAUCCUUAUGUAAAGUGGUGGUGGGAGCACAUACGCAAGGCUUGAGAAAGGGAGAGAUCCUGAAACGUCACCAGUACUGCCCACAGGUGUAUGAGCGUGUCUGCUGUCAGUCCGGAAGGAAAGCGUGGUGAUCAGCACACAUGAAAGCUCCGGCUGGAUCAAGAGACUUGCAUUAAGAUGCCGUAUCCCUGAGCAGCGAAGAGCACUUGGGUGGUUAUGUUCUGUUGAUUACUGUCUCCAUUAUUUGAAGUUUUGUAAGAAACAAAUGGAAAGAAAAGUAAAGUAUAUGGAAUUAGA